UCUACAAACAAUAAAUGCUGGAGAGGGUGUGGAGAAAAGGGAACCCUCUUGCACUGUUGGUGGCAAUGAAAAUUGAUACAGCCACUAUGGAGAACAGUAUGGAGGUUCCUCAAAAAACUAAAAAUGGAACUGCCAUGAGGCCCAGUGGUCCCACUGCUGGAUGUGUACCCUGAGACAGCCAUAAUUCAGAAAGAGUCAUGUACCACAGUAUUCAUUGCAGCUCUGUUUACAGUAACUGGGACAUGGAGGCAACCUGGGUGUCCAUCAACAGAUGAAUGGAUAAAGAAGAUGUGGCACAUAUAUACAGUGGAAUAUUACUAAGCCAUAAAAAGAAAUGAAAUUGAGUUAUUUGUAGUGAGGUGGAUGGACCUAGAUUCUGUCAUACAGAGUGAAUUUCUGUGGUUCCAGGAGUCUGGAUAUGGCGUAAAUGGUCCUCUGCCCAGCAUCUCACAAGACUGCAGUCAUAAUGCCAGCUGUGCUGAAUUCUCAUUUGGAGAAUUAACUGGAGAAUAAUCUCCUUGCAAGCUCCUCCAGGAGCUGUUCUAGGAGACCAAAGUGAUGAAAGCAGAUAAAGAUGAAGCUUACAUUCUAGUGCGUAUAAAAAAAAUAAAUAAAUGCAUGAGAAGUGCUAUGGAGACAAAUAAAGCAGAGUAAGGUGGAGAAGGAAUAUUGAGAGAGAGAGAGGGAGAGAUCAGGAAAGAGCUCUCUGAUAAAGUGACCUUUGAGCAAAGGCCUUGAGGGAAUUGAGGGAAGAAGCCAUGCAGAUAUCAAGAGGAAGAGCAUUAUGAGCAAAGGAAAGAGAAAGUGUUUCAGGAAGAACAGGGAGCCAGUGUAGCUGGAGUGAAAGGAAGGAGGAGCGGAAGGAGGUGAAGUCAGGUGGGUGUGUGGAGGGAGGGCGAUGGAUGCUGAGCAUAAGCCGGAGAGUGACAGUCUGACUUGUAUUAUUUAAUUACAGUCGUAGAAUUUUAUUCAGGCUCAUAAGUGAUUAAUUUUCUUUCUAGAAGUCUAAACAGAAAUCCUAUUCAUAUAUAGUUUUUUGAAGUACAAUUCACAUUCAGUAAAAUUCAUCCUUUUUAGGAUCUGCAGGGACGCCACCCCUGCAGAGAACAAAAUUCAUGGAUGCUCCAGUCCCUUAAUAUAUAACCUAUGCAAAUCCUCUCAUAUACUUCAAACCAUCUCUAGCUAUCUUAUAGUACCUAAUACAAAGAAAUGCUAUGUAAAUAGUUGUAAAUGUAAUGUAAGUGCUAUGUAAGUAGUUGCUGGAACGCUGCAAAUUCAAGUUUUGUU